UUCAGCCUUUCCUGAGAUGGCAAACAGGAGA
rnacentral:piRNA from 1 species